rnacentral:lncRNA from 1 species
GGACAAACCCACCCAAGUCAUUCUACUGCUGUUUCCUGUGUCCACAUGGUAAACUCUCAGCUUCUGGCCAAAGACCUUGGUGAACCCUGCUGACUUGCUCAGCACUACUGGCAAGCAAAGUGUUCACUGAUGAAUGAACAAGCACUAGUGAAUAUCUGAAUUUUAAAAGCCACUCUAGACCUACAUAAGUGAUGAAUGAAGAAGAGUGCCCUUCCAUGAACACAUGUGCCGGAGACAUGUUGAAUUUCUUCCCCCUCAGCAUAAUCAGAGGAGGUGACCCCAAACACCUCAGAGACCAUGGGAAGUUCCUAAUGCCGGCCUGAUGCAGAUUCUCUUCUCCACGGAGCACCAUGGCCGCUGGGCUCUGCCUUCCACACAGAACGAUGUGUACUUGAAAACAGUACACUCUUGCACAGCUGUCCCUGGAGCUUCCCGGUGGAGCUGUUAAACUUGCCCUCCGCUGGCUGUUUUCCACAAAGUAAUAUGGUUACAUAGAUUCACGGCUCAUGGCAAUGUUUCAUUAAGACAGUUCUUGAUGGCCGCUCCACACCUUUCUCACCACAUCUCACAGGCUGCCCUGCUGAGCCAGGUCUGCCUGGAACUCGGGGCUCCUGCGCAGACCCCCAUUUUGCUCCAGAACACCCAGGAAGGCGGGGCUUGGGCUGGAAUGGGGACAGCGAUUACCCUCUAUUCAGGCCUUUGGUGCCAGCUGAGGUCGAUACUGGUGCCAGGAUCGAGACUGUGCCCAUCCCAUCGAGAGCGGGCAGAUGUGGGGGCGCACUGGACCGGGCCUCCCAGGCUGACACCCAUUCACAGCAGCCUGAGCCUAAUCCGCCACUGCUCGCCUUCCUCCGACGUCUCCACCUAAACCAUCCUUCUGCACAUUGUGACCCAUCACUCCGCCCUUUGUCCACACAUCUCCUUCCCCACACCCACAACACGGUGGUCCCUGCCCCACAAUGCAACGGAAACCUUGCCUCCGGAGUGCUAGGCGGAAGCUGCGAGGCCUGUGUAGACACUGCCUCCGCAGGGCUGGCGCACUCCUCUGAGGGCCGACUCAGGGGUGGGUUUUUUAAAGUUGCAAAAUAAAAGUCAUCACCUGUGGGCCCUGAAGGCCUCUUUUCCACUG